UGGGGAAUUUUGGACAAUGGGCGAAAGCCUGAUCCAGCAAUGCCGCGUGUGUGAAGAAGGCCUUCGGGUUGUAAAGCACUUUUGUCCGGAAAGAAAUCCUUGGCUCUAAUACAGUCGGGGGAUGACGGUACCGGAAAGAAUAAGCACCGGCUAACUACGUGCCAGCAGCCGCGGUAAUACGUAGGGUGCAAGCGUUAAUCGGAAUUACUGGGCGUAAAGCGUGCGCAGGCGGUUUGCUAAGACCGAUGUGAAAUCCCCGGGCUCAACCUGGGAACUGCAUUGGUGACUGGCAGGCUAGAGUAUGGCAGAGGGGGGUAGAAUUCCACGUGUAGCAGUGAAAUGCGUAGAGAUGUGGAGGAAUACCGAUGGCGAAGGCAGCCCCCUGGGCCAAUACUGACGCUCAUGCACGAAAGCGUGGGGAGCAAACAGGAUUAGAUACCCUGGUAGUCCACGCCCUAAACGAUGUCAACUAGUUGUUGGGGGAUUCAUUUCCUUAGUAACGUAGCUAACGCGUGAAGUUGACCGCCUGGGGAGUACGGUCGCAAGAUUAAAACUCAAAUGAAUUGACGGGGUCAUAGCUGUUUCCU
rnacentral:rRNA from 1 species